GUCAGUUUGGCCGAGUUGGUUAAGGCGACAGACUUGAAAUCUGUUGGGCUACGCCCGCGUAGGUUCGAAUCCUGCAGCUGACG
rnacentral:tRNA from 2 species